CCCGACCAGGGUGUCAGAGUUUCAUUUGUGGGCUCAUCCUUGAAGACCAGGGACUGAUGCGUGAUUGAAAAAACAUGCUUAAGAAUCAUUCUGGGGGUCUGGCGGGAAUGGAUUACAUUUGUAUCCCAACAGUUGAAAAAGGUCCAACAGGUUCUGGCAUUAUUAGCUACACUGACCGUUAUUGUUUAAAUUGUUCCAUCGGCUACAGGAUCCGGUCGGCAAAGCUUGAUUGUUCAUGCAUUGGAUCAAUGUGAAUUCCAUGGGGGUUUUUUGGACAUGAUGGUUUUUCAACACGGACGGCCUGGCCCUGCACUGAUCUUGACUGAGUAGCUCGGCACCACGGUAAUGACAGUCAGAAGGGAUGGCUGUACGUGGAGACACAUGUCUGUUCCGGACCCUUCAAACGUCCACCCAAAACUCCAGCUACGUGUGAAUAAAGAGGACAGGAAGUGGCAGUUUGGCAGCUCCAACCAGGAGUGUCACUCUCAAUUGCGUCCCCUGCCAACUUCAGACACGUCGCAUGGCCGAGGAGGUCACGGCGCUGGCUCCGCUUGCUCGCUGCUUUUUUUUUGGAAUGCUCUGUCUCCUCAACAGGGUUUUUCCACGCCACCUACACGACACCACGCAGUCCAGACGAGACACUGACAUACGGAAGACGCAGAGGCAGAGCGACGGCCCAUUUUUGAAAGCUCUGAUAAAACAUGAGGAUGUCUUGUCAGAUUACGCUGAUGCACAGUGUCAGAAUGUCUGUGGUGUCAAAGUACUGUGUCCUAAGCUUGCCUACAUCCCUUCCUUGUCCAGACGCUGAAUCCUCAUCUUGAAGGAUGUUCAGAUGGAAAAUGGAAUUUCCUCAGCUUUAAGGAACGACUUAAUUCAUGCAAAUAUUAACCUCUGAGUAGUCUCUCAUGUCAAGACACGGUAGAUGUUAAUUUAAAAGACUGUGAAAUGCCUCGCAUGUAUAAGCGUGUCCAUUUUUGACACUCACAGUAUAUUUUGCAUGUGUCUGUAUUGUAGGUUACAAUAUGUGUAUAGUGGGAAUAAAAGCCAUG
ensembl:lncRNA